GAUGAACGCUGGCGGCGUGCUUAACACAUGCAAGUCGAACGUGAGAGGAUAGCAAUAUUCUUGAAAGUGGCGCACGGGUGAGUAAUACGUAGGUAACCUGCCCUGGAGUGGGGGAUAACAACUAGAAAUGGUUGCUAAUACCGCAUGAAGCCAAGACACUGGGAAGUGACUUGGUAAAAACUCUGGUGCUUCAGGAGGGGCCUACGGCCGAUUAGCUAGUUGGCGGGGUAAGAGCCCACCAAGGCAGUGAUCGGUAGCUGGUCUGAGAGGACGAUCAGCCACACUGGGACUGAGACACGGCCCAGACUCCUACGGGAGGCAGCAGUGGGGAAUCUUGCGCAAUGGGGGCAACCCUGACGCAGCCAUGCCGCGUGAACGAUGAAGGCCUUAGGGUUGUAAAGUUCUUUUACCCGUGACGAUGAUGACGGUAACGGGGGAAUAAGCUCCGGCUAACUUCGUG
rnacentral:rRNA from 1 species